UGCGUAGGCGGUUUGUUAAGUCAUUUGUAAAAGAUCUCAGCUCAACUGAGUAAGGCGAAUGAAACUGGCAGACUUAAAUACGGUAGAGGUAAGUGGAAUUCCAUGUGUAGCGGUGGAAUGCGUAGAUAUAUGGAGGAACACCAAUGGCGAAGGCAACUUACUGGGCCGGAAUUGACGCUGAGGCACGAAAGCGUGGGGAGCAAACAGGAUUAGAUACCCUGGUAGUCC
rnacentral:rRNA from 1 species